rnacentral:snRNA from 1 species
AUAUUGUUUGAACCUGGGAGAUGGGGGUUGCAGUGAGCCAAGAUCUUGCCAGUGCACUCCAGCCUAGGGGACAGAG